UACGGAGGGGGCUAGCGUUGUUCGGAAUUACUGGGCGUAAAGCGCACGUAGGCGGCUUUGUAAGUUAGAGGUGAAAGCCCAGAGCUCAACUCUGGAACUGCCUUUAAGACUGCAUCGCUUGAAUCAUGGAGAGGUCAGUGGAAUUCCGAGUGUAGAGGUGAAAUUCGUAGAUAUUCGGAAGACCACCAGUGGCGAAGGCGACUGACUGGACAUGUAUUGACGCUGAGGUGCGAAAGCGUGGGGAGCAAACAGG
rnacentral:rRNA from 1 species